UACGUAGGGCGCGAGCGUUGUCCGGAUUUAUUGGGCGUAAAGGGCUCGUAGGCGGUUUGUCGCGUCGGGAGUGAAAUCCACUGGCUUAACUGGUGGCUUGCUUUCGAUACGGGCAGACUGGAGGUAUGCAGGGGAGAACGGAAUUCCUGGUGUAGCGGUGAAAUGCGCAGAUAUCAGGAGGAACACCGGUGGCGAAGGCGGUUCUCUGGGCAUGUCCUGACGCUGAGGAGCGAAAGUGUGGGGAGCGAACAGG
rnacentral:rRNA from 1 species